rnacentral:rRNA from 1 species
AUACGGAGGAUGCAAGCGUUAUCCGGAUUUAUUUGGUUUAAAGGGUGCGUAGGCGGUUUGCUAAGCGGGAGGUGAAAUGCCGGCGCUCAACGUCGGAAGUGCCUCCCGAACUGGUGGACUUGAAUGACUCUGCCGUGGGAGGAAUGUGUAGUGUAGCGGUGAAAUGCUUAGAGAUUGCACAGAACACCGAUUGCGAAGGCAUCUCACGAAGGGUUGAUUGACGCUGAGGCACGAAAGCGUGGGGAUCAAACAGGAUUAGAUACCCUGGUAGUCCACGCAGUAAACGAUGAUGGCUAACCGCUGGGCUUAUCAGUUCAGUGGCCAAGCGAAAGCGAUAAGCCAUCCACCUGGGGAGUACGACCGCCAGGUUGAAACUCAAAUGAAUUGACGGGU